rnacentral:rRNA from 1 species
UACGUAGGCAGCGAGCGUUGUUCGGAGUUACUGGGCGUAAAGGGUGUGUAGGCGGUCCUCUAAGUUUGGUGUGAAAUCUCCCGCUCAACCGGGAGGGUGCGCCGAAAACUGGAGGGCUAGAGUGCGGGAAGGGAGAGUGGAAUUCCUGGUGUAGCGGUGAAAUGCGUAGAUAUCAGGAGGAACACCGGUGGCGAAGGCGGCUUCCUGGACCGACACUGACGCUGAGGCGCGAAAGCUAGGGGAGCAAACGGG